UACGUAGGGUGCAAGCGUUGUCCGGAAUUAUUGGGCGUAAAGAGCUUGUAGGCGGUUUGUCGCGUCUGCUGUGAAAUUUCGGGGCUCAACCCCGAACUUGCAGUGGGUACGGGCAGACUAGAGUGUGGUAGGGGAGACUGGAAUUCCUGGUGUAGCAGUGAAAUGCGUAGAGAUCAUGAGGAAGACCAGUGGCGAAGGCGGGUCUCUGGACAGUUCCUGACACUGAGACACGAAGGCCAGGGGAGCAAACGGG
rnacentral:rRNA from 1 species